GUAAGAGUUGGUUGCAUUUGUUUCCCUGUGUUAGAAAGCAAACUGAGAGCUCUGGAAGAACCAUGUUUUGAGCAAGUGGAGAAGACCAUGGUGGAGCUGGCUGCCCCCCUGAGGUCCAUGGAAGACCAUGAUGGAGUGGAUACCCACAAUGCAACCUGUGGACAGCCUUGAAGGAAGCUGCAGCUUGUGGAAAGCUCACAUGGGUGUGGGUUCCUGGUGGGAACUGUGGCUGUGUGGAAAGGAGCCCAUGUAGGAGCAGAUUUUCUCAUGGGAACUGUGGCCUGUGGGGGACCCGUGCUGGGGCAGUCUGUUUCUGAAGAACUGCACCCAUGGAAAGGACUCAUGCUAGAGCAGCGAACUGUGGCUUAUGGGAGGGCUCCCACACUGGAGCAGGGCAUGAGUGUGAGGAAGGAGCCAGACAUGAAGCAUUUUGAACUGACAACACCCACCCAUUCCCCAUCCACCUGCACCGCUUGGGGCUGGAGAGGAGGUGGAAGAAUCAAGAGUAAAGUUGGGCCUGGUAAGAAGGGAAUCUAAGCUCCUGCUAUAGAUCUUCUGUAUCAAGAUGUCAGUGAACUGAAAGGACAAAAGCUUGUCCCUUCCCAGAGGUGGUCUUAGUCUCCCACAACAGCUUGGUAAUUAGAAGACUAGAAGACUUGCCUGGGAUAUGGGGGAGACAAAUUUAAGACUUGCUUUUUCAGAGGGGGUUUGAGUCUACAUCCUCUGUCUUCUGGGAGAAUACCUGAAUUAUUGGGCUUUUGUGGAAAAUUCUAAUUUGGGCCAAAAAGUUCAAGAACCUCUGACCUGUAAGAGAGGCUUGAGGGAAUAUCCUUUCUCUUCCAACACUGGAAAGGGAAUGAGGAAUCCCAGUUCCAGUGUGGGACAAUGAAGUUUGCAUUAACUCUAUUAAUGAGUCACAUGAUUGUGCAAUCUACAUGUUAGUAAACUGCCAUGCAGUAUCAGGGAUCUGAUGUACAAUAUGCUGUGUCGUGUAAAGUUGAUCAUAAGAGAGGGAAGUGCUAUGCAAAGAUGGGUGUUUGUUGUUGUUGGUUUUUUUUUCUUUAUUUGUUUUGUUUUGUUUUGUUUUUCCACUAAUAAAUAGUAAUUUAUUUCAGCAACUGGAAAAGCUAUAGUACCUUUUAUAUAUAAAUUCAAAUUUUCCUUUAAACAGACUUUGCUUUUCCCCCAGAGAAACUGUGUCAGUAUAGAUGAAAAUGGUACAAUGCUGGGAAUAUUUCUGUGGCCUCAUAACCUUAGCUUUUUCUGAAAUCCUAUACUCUUGUCGUUUUUUGUUUUUUUUUCCUAGACUGAUAUUGUAUACCCUGCUAGCUUCCUUUCUAUUCCUGGAACCAAUGUAGCUCUUUUUAGCUUCUGUCUACUUUCAGUUUCCAUUAGAGCUGUGAGACUCAUUCUCCUUCCUUUGUGUCCUAUGGACUGUCCUCAGGCCACCUCAUCUGGUCCCAUUUAGGGAUGGAAUUGCUAAAUACCACCCCUGAACUGACACCUUCCAGAUCUACCCAUCACAUUUGACCUUUCUCUGUCAGCCUUGUUUCUGUUGCUGCUGUGCUGCUGCCAACUCAAAUUCAAACUAGCACACCUGUGUGCUAGUCUAAGCAUAAGCUAGCAUAAGCUCCAGAGUCCUGCACAGCUCCAAUGAAAGGUGAUUUGAGUGGCAUGUUACCUCUCUUGCAUCAGCCCCUUUUAGUGUUAAACAUGCAGCCAGAACUGCCCUGAGCAAUGGCAAUUUUUCUCUUUGCCAUGGAUGGACCUGCCAAUUACAUAGCCAAAGCUCAGCUGUACUAUGCAUGACACCAGUUUAGCAAGUGGGAGUAGAACAGAGCGGAGAAAGAAAGACCCUUUGCUCAUGUGGCUGUGGAAAAAAAAUCUGAUUGCAGGGUCCUUGUGUGGAAAUCAAAGUCCUGUGCUAAUGAGGAAAUUAUUUCAGUGCAGGCACAUAUUUUCUGAAGUCCAUUUACACUUUCAAACAACAAAUGGCUUUAAUUCUUGGUCAUUAUAUUUGGCUAGUCCUUGCAAGGGAAUGAUGGCAAGGCCUGCUGUUAUCACUAGGUACAUAGCCCCAGUGUUAAUACCACAGAUUAAAUUGUAUUGCAAGUAGUGGUAAUGAAGAUUGCUGUGUGCUGCAUUUUUAUUACAGAUAUUGUACCGUUGUAAUGUAUACAUCAGUGCUUCCUGUGCCCUUCCAUUGAUCAAGCUAUGACAUAUGGAACUGUUGAAAUAAUUAUGAAUUGAGGAUACAAGUACAAAGAUCCUCCAAAAUUGACUACAUUUCUGUAAUGCAUAAUUAAAAUGUUCAUGUCAGCAAAUAAUGUUGAUUGCACUUGACAGUGUAUUAUGCUAGUGUUUCAUUGAACUGGCAGAGAUACUUGCAAAAAAAUGGUUAUGUUUUUAAUAGGAAGGGACUGGAAAUCUAUUUCCUUUUCUCACUUUGUCUCCUUACCUAUAACGUGUCUUUGUACAUAUGGUAAGUAUUGACACCUGGGACAAUUCUGAAGAAUAUGUAAUACAUACAAAGAAAACAACUAUUUGUAAACUCCCCUGGCUUUUUAAAUGCAACCAGUCGAAAGAAAAGUGAGUCAGUUCACUGUACUUUGAAUAGUGAAUACCAUUCUUUGCAAUAGAACUUAAAAUUGGACUGGCAACCCCAGGCUACAAGAUAAACCAAAACACAGAUUGUUUAUUCCAUGGAAGAUGUAUUCUAGAUGUAUCCUAGAAGAUACAGUGCUUAGGACACUGUCUUUAUUAAAGCCAUUCUUGAUUAAUGUCAGUCUGUGGUCAU